UACGAAGGGGGCUAGCGUUGUUCGGAAUUACUGGGCGUAAAGCGCACGUAGGCGGAUUGUUAAGUUAGGGGUGAAAUCCCGGGGCUCAACCCCGGAACUGCCUUUAAUACUGGCAAUCUCGAGUCCGAGAGAGGUGAGUGGAAUUCCGAGUGUAGAGGUGAAAUUCGUAGAUAUUCGGAGGAACACCAGUGGCGAAGGCGGCUCACUGGCUCGGUACUGACGCUGAGGUGCGAAAGCGUGGGUAGCAAACGGG
rnacentral:rRNA from 1 species